CCUACGGGAGGCAGCAGUGGGGAAUAUUGGACAAUGGGCGAAAGCCUGAUCCAGCAAUGCCGCGUGAGUGAUGAAGGCCUUAGGGUUGUAAAGCUCUUUUACCAGGGAUGAUAAUGACAGUACCUGGAGAAUAAGCUCCGGCUAACUCCGUGCCAGCAGCCGCGGUAAUACGGAGGGAGCUAGCGUUGUUCGGAAUUACUGGGCGUAAAGCGUACGUAGGCGGUUAUUCAAGUCAGAGGUGAAAGCCUGGAGCUCAACUCCAGAACUGCCUUUGAAACUAGAUAGCUAGAAUCUUGGAGAGGUGAGUGGAAUUCCGAGUGUAGAGGUGAAAUUCGUAGAUAUUCGGAAGAACACCAGUGGCGAAGGCGACUCACUGGACAAGUAUUGACGCUGAGGUACGAAAGCGUGGGGAGCAAACAGGAUUAGAUACCCUGGUAGUCCACGCCGUAAACGAUGAUAACUAGCUGUUCGGGCUCUACGAGCUUGUAGUGGCGCAGCUAACGACAUUAAGUUAUCCGUCCGUCGGGAGGUACGGUCGCGAAGAAUUAAACUAACAAGAAAGUUAGUACGGACGUGAGACGUAGCCGAACGGACGACGACGAGGGAGGUUAGG
rnacentral:rRNA from 1 species